AUGAGAGGUCCUGCCUGCCCAGUGACUCUGUUAAACGGCCGCGGUAUCCUAACCGUGCAAAGGUAGCGUAAUCACUUGUCUUUUAAUUAAAGACCCGUAUGAAUGGCAAAACGAGGGCUUAACUGUCUCUUUAUUCUAGUUAAUAAAAUUGAUCCUCCUGUGAAAAAGCAGGAAUAUAAACAUAAGACGAGAAGACCCUGUGGAGCUUUAGACAAACCAGGAAAACUUUUAAACCUAAAAUAAACAGAUUACUUAAGUCUUCACCUCGGAAGUGUCUUUGGUUGGGGCGACCGUGGGACACUAAAUAACUCCCACAAAGAAGAAAUAACCCUUUUUUAAACUAAUAUUUCAAAUAAAAGCCACAAAAUUUUUGACAUACAGACCCGGCUUGCCGAUCAACGAAACGAGUUACCCCAGGGAUAACAGCGCAAUCCUCUUUAAGAGUUCUUAUCGACAAGAGGGUUUACGACCUCGAUGUUGGAUCAGGACAUCCUAAUGGUGUAGCUGCUAUUAAGGGUUUGUUUGUUCAACGAUUAAAGUCC
rnacentral:rRNA from 1 species